rnacentral:rRNA from 1 species
UACGUAGGGGGCAAGCGUUGUCCGGAAUCAUUGGGCGUAAAGCGCGUGUAGGCGGCCUUGUAAGUCCGAUCUGAAAGCCCGGGGCUCAACCCCGGGAGGCGGAUGGAUACUGCAAGGCUCGAGUACGGAAGAGGCGAGUGGAAUUCCCGGUGUAGCGGUGAAAUGCGCAGAUAUCGGGAGGAACACCAAUGGCGAAGGCAGCUCGCUGGGACGUUACUGACGCUGAUACGCGAAAGCGUGGGGAGCAAACAGG